rnacentral:misc_RNA from 1 species
GGCGGGAGCGGCCGGCGGCGCGGCGGCGGCUGUCAGUCUGUGCCGAGUGAGCGCGGUGGCAUGGCGUCCCUGUCAGCGAUGCUUCCGUACGAGUCGGCGGGAAUCUUUGAGCAGCCGAAGCAGAAGUUCGCCUUCAAAGUGCCGCGCGUGGUCUCCGACCAGAAGGGCAAGUUCGAGCAGGAUGACUGGUUCAAGAAGGUGACACGUGCCUCGGAGGCGAGGUACACCGGAAACCGCGAGAGGCCCAUGGAGGAGCGCAGGGCCAAGUUCCAGAGUGAUCUCAAGACCAACGGCCGCACUGAGCUGGCACUGACUCAGAACGGGCUAAACCUCAUCCUGGAGUUCGACAUUUCACCAAACGGCUACACGGGCCGUGCGCCGGACGUGGACUUCGCCAAGGAGCCGGGAAUGGUCCACCUCACCUCCAAGAGCAUCAUCCUGAACGGCGUGUGCGUCAGGUGGCGGGGCGUCUUCAACCUGGAGAGCCUGAACGGCACCGGCUCCAUCGAGUUUGACGACGAGAUGGCCCAGGAGGAGGAUAACCGUCUGAGGCAGCAGAUGGAGUACUAUAAUCAGAGGAUACGCGACUUCAAUGACCGACAGAAGUACAAACGAGAGGCCGACUGACCGGAUGGCCGCGACUGACGGUGUGAUAUUGGGUGUACCAUUGACGCAGAGGCGGCGCCAGGCGACUGCGGAGGGCGGCACCGGCCCCCCACCAGGGGCGGCGGCAGACGGCAGGCGCCGCGGACCGUGCAAUAGCCGCGCCUGGCCGCCGCCCGCCGCGGCGGUGACCUGGGACCGGUCGCCAGUGACCUGUAACUGCAGUGACCUGGGCGCCGCCGCCCCUCACUAUGAGCCGGUCCGCCCCCGGCCUGUACCUAUGUAUGUAUUGAGUGGCUGGCGCCAUGUGUUCAGACAGUGCAGUGUAAUUCAUUAUGUACCGACAUGUCUCCUAAUAUAUGUGUAUGAUGUAGAGAA